AUAAGAGGUUGAACUCUUUUAAAAAUAUGUAAGCUAACCAGAAAAAAAAUGUAUGAGUUAUGUUUCACUCCCAAAACAUGCCAAAUCUUGAGAAUUUCAGGUGUUGUAAAAAAAGUUACUUUUAUAUUAAAUUUAUUAAGUACAUUUUUUUUAGAAGAAUAAGGGAAGAUUAUUUUUAUACGACCGCAAAAAAUUUUUGCGGUCGUAUAUUGGUAUGACGUCGGCGUUGUCGUCGUCGUCGUCCGAAGACACAUUGGUUUUCGCACUCUAACUUUAGUUUAAGUGAAUGGAUCUCUUUGAAGUUUUACCAUAAGGUUCAAUACCACAAAAGGAAGGUGGGGAUUGAUUUUGGGGGAUAUGGUACCAACAGUUAAGGAAUUAGGGGCCAAAAAGGGGCCAAAAAUAAGCAUUUUCUAGUUUCCAGACAAUAACUGGAACGGUGUAUGGAUCUCUCUGAAAUUAUACUACAAGUUACCAUACCACAAAGGGAUGGUUAGGAUUUGCUUUGGGGGGUUAUGGCUCAAACCGUUUAGGAAUUAGGGGCAAAAAAGGGGGAAAAACAAGGUUGUCCUGGUUAAUGGACAAAUACUUUAGUACAAAACAUAUAUAAAGCAGUGUAAGGGAGAUAAAUCAAAUACAUCAUUGAAAUUAUCUCCCUUACUCUGCUUUUAAAUUAUGUAUAAGGAAGUACACCACUAAUUCAUGGCCCCAUUGCUUUCUAUGUUAAAUUCCUCAAUUUCAAGCAGACACAGCUCUUUUGUUUCAAGUUCAAAUAAAGUGACAAUCAUUGCAUGUCAAAGCAACACUUUAUGGUGUCUUGUACUGGAAAAAUCAACAUACCUUUAAUGGCAUACAAGAAAGAACUGGUUCCCGGAACUUCGGAUGUACCAAAACAGGUACUUCAGAUCUGACAUACAGGCAAAAAGUACCCUCUUUAUAAAAUUUGGUGCAGUUUUUUAAUAUUCAAACUUAUAAGUCAAAAAGUGUUCUACAAUGAUCACCAGUCAUUCAGCUUUCAUUUCAUACCAACAAUACCUAAAUAUUCUACAUAUUUUGAAAGUUACACUCAUGCGUAGGAACUAUUUUGUGUUAAAUAUGUACUACUUUCUGGUAUGUGCUUUCUGGCCGGGCCGAAUUAGUGGUGUUACACCAUAAAGUAAUGGUUAAUGAACAAUUAAGAUAAUUUAAAACAGUGUAAGGGAGGUAAUCCAAAUACAACGUUUUGGUUACUUCCCUUACACUGCUUUUAAAUUAUGUUUAAAGAAAUGCAUAUUCAUAAAGGAAGACCAGUAAAAAUAUCUGCAAAUGUUGCAUCUUUUUUUUUUUACAAAAAAAUCCAUAUGAAAGAUUUGACACUAUAUUUUUAAUUCUAUUAUAAAAUAGAUUAAGUUAGCACUAUGGUAAAUUUAAAUGGGUAAUUAUGGUUGCCAACUCCAUUGGAAAUUUGAAUUGAGAUUAUGACCAAACGUGAGGGAAAGAAUUUUUUGGGGGAAAAAAGGGGGGGGGGGGGGGGAUAAAAAGAAAUUGUGGGAGGUCAAUUUUUUCUCAUUUCAGAUUUCAGAAAUUAAAAAGAAUUAUUCUUCAAAUAUUAUUUUUUUUUCAAAUUUCAAAUAUUGAAAAAUUUCAAGAAGUAAUCUUUAAUUGCACAGUAUGGCGCAUUAGAUUUGUAAAAUCUUUGAUCACAUUUAUUUAUUUGUUAUGCCGAAUCUAACAGUGUAUUUAGAUUUUUAAUUUUGGGUCCAGUUUUCAAAUUGGUCUACAUUAAGGUCCAAAGGGUCCAAAAUUAAACUUUGUU